rnacentral:rRNA from 1 species
AUUGAACGCUGGCGGCAGGCCUAACACAUGCAAGUCGAGCGAGCGGCGGGCGGGUGAGUACUGUCCGGGAAACUGCCUGAUGGAGGGGGAUAACUACUGGACACGGUAGCUACUACCGCAUACCAUCAGAUGUGCCCAGAUGGGAUUAGCUAGUGGGUGGGGUAACGGCUCCCCUAGGCGACGCUCCCUAGCUGGUCUGAGAGGAUGACCAGGCCCACUGGAACUGAGACACGGGCAAGACCCCUACGGGAGGCAGCAGUGGGGAAUAUUGCACGAUGGGCGCAAGCCUGAUGCGGCCGUGCCGGGUGUGUGAAGAAGGCCUUCGGGUUGUAAAGCACUUUCAGCGGGGAGGCGGUACCCGCAGAAGAAACAACGGCGAUCUCCGUGCCAGCAGCCGCGGUAAUAC